ACACUAGUUGCUUGGUCUUACGAAAAAGACGGUUUUAUGCGAAAUAUAGUGAGAGAAUAACUUAAUUCGUCAGUAAUUAGUGCUAUAGCGAUAAUGUACUGAAAUUAUUAAUAUAAAUUAAUUUUAAAUCAUUCAAUACAGAAACAUAUGCAAUUGGUGUAUUUGCUUUGUUAUUGUCCUUAAGUGGAAUAUAACAUAUGAUUAGAUUCUUAUAGAUAUGUAUAAGUAUUAAAAAUGUGAAAAGUUAUCAUUGGUCAUCCGAUGAAUUCCAAUAAACGAAGUUUUAUUACAUACCGUUGCAGAAAAAUAUGAACAGAAAUAUCAAUAUAUAGAAUUCCUUGUUAUUUAACAUCUAUGAAAUGUUUAUCAAAGUCAAAGGAAAACUGAUAUUGGACGUGUAACAUAAAUCGCACAGUGAUUAACCUAUCCCCUUCAAAUGUUUUUCAAAUUGAGGUCAAAAGUGGAUACACAUUUGGAUAGAAUAUAGCUGCAUAAAGCAUUUCCACAUUGCAAUCAGAGAUUCAUUAUGAAAAAUUGAUGCUGAAGGAAAAAAGUCGUGGCCGACAGCUGAAGAAAAAUGAUUCGUGCACAUGCCUCGGCUGGAUUAGACCCAAUACAUGUUUAGAAUGGCGCAGCGACCUCCAUCGCCUCGCAGGCAAAGAAAAUAAUCGUUGCUCCAGUUGGAUGUGCGCCAGCAAAUGUAGCUCCUUUUUAAGUUUGCCCUUCGAGCGUAGCCUUGACUUUCAGGCCGUAAAACGUGUGUAUAUCUCUAGCCGGUAUCUUGCACCUGCUUCCCAAGGUGUGCAUGCGAAGAAGCUUUUGAUCGUAAGAGAAAUUUGGCCCAGCUGUGAAAGGAGCUUAAUUUAUUUAUUGCUACGCUACGACGCGCUACAUGCAACGGAACCGAUGACUCCGGCACUGUGCGCAUCAUUUUGCAGCAGGCCUCCAAGUGUUUUCCCGGACCACACCUUCGCAAAGGGGGUUUUUCGACAACGAAUUAUACCGACGUCGCGUUUUCGCGGAAGGACCAUUGUGUACUUCUUUUUAUAAAUUUCACUAAUGAUGGCGUGGUAACCAAAAGCACGCCUGGAUGAGUCGUAAGAAUAUCCAAACGACUCCAGCGAGAGCCAAGUACGAACAAGCGGUGUACACCAUGCUUAUAAAAUCGACCGAGAUCUG